GCUGGGCGUGGCGGCGCAUGCCUGUAAUCCCAGCUACUUGGGAGGCUGAGGCAGGAGAAUCGCUUGAACUCAGGAGGCAGAGACUGCAGGGAGCCAAGAUUGCACCACUGCACUCUAGCAUGGGUGACAGAGUGAGACUCUGUCUCAA
rfam:Chlorocebus sabaeus isolate 1994-021 chromosome 3, whole genome shotgun sequence.